rnacentral:rRNA from 1 species
CUCUGUGGCCAUACCACCCCGAACGCACCCGAUCUUGUCUGAUCUCCGAAGCUAAGCAGGGUUGGGCCCGGUAUGUACCCGGAUGGGAGAACUUGGUUGGGCCAGCAA